rnacentral:misc_RNA from 1 species
GAAAUGCGAUAAGUAAUGUGAAUUGCAGAAUUCAGUGAAUCAUCGAAUCUUUGAACGCACAUUGCGCCCGCUAGUAUUCUGGCGGGCAUGCCUGUUCGAGCGUCAUUUCAACUAUCAAGCCCUAGGCUUGUGUUGGAGCCCUGCGGCUGCCCGCAGCCUCCUAAAAGCAGUGGCGAGCUCUCUAUCACACCGAGUGCAGUAGUUUACUCUUCGCUCAGGGCGUGUAGCGAGUUUCGGCCGUGAAAACCCCCAAGAUUGACUUCGGAUCAGGUAGGAAUACCCGCUGAACUUAA